rnacentral:rRNA from 1 species
UACGUAGGGUGCAAGCGUUGUCCGGAAUUAUUGGGCGUAAAGAGCUCGCAGGCGGUCUGUCACGUCGGCUGUGAAAACCCGAGGCUCAACCUCGGGCCUGCAGUCGAUACGGGCAGACUAGAGUUCGGUAGGGGAGACUGGAAUUCCUGGUGUAGCGGUGAAAUGCGCAGAUAUCAGGAGGAACACCGGUGGCGAAGGCGGGUCUCUGGGCCGAAACUGACGCUGAGGAGCGAAAGCGUGGGGAGCGAACAGG